rnacentral:rRNA from 1 species
CCUACGGGGGGCAGCAGUCGAGAAUCAUUCACAAUGGGGGAAACCCUGAUGGUGCGACGCCGCGUGGGGGAAUGAAGGUCUUCGGAUUGUAAACCCCUGUCAUGUGGGAGCAAAUUAAAAAGAUAGUACCACAAGAGGAAGAGACGGCUAACUCUGUGCCAGCAGCCGCGGGAAUACAGAGGUCUCAAGCGUUGUUCGGAAUCACUGGGCGUAAAGCGUGCGUAGGCUGUUUCGUAAGUCGUGUGUGAAAGGCGCGGGCUCAACCCGCGGACGGGACAUGAUACUGCGAGACUAGAGUAAUGGAGGGGGAACCGGAAUUCUCGGUGUAGCAGUGAAAUGCGUAGAUAUCGAGAGGAACACUCGUGGCGAAGGCGGGUUCCUGGACAUUAACUGACGCUGAGGCACGAAGGCCAGGGGAGCGAAAGGGAUUAGAUACCCUAGUAGUC